rnacentral:lncRNA from 1 species
CGGCGACGCUAUUUAGCCGGGCGCGGCCGCUCCGGCACCUUCACCCAUCAGCAGCAGCUACCGACUGGUCCAGCACACUCUCUCGCCUCACGCAAUGGCUGCCUCCACCAUGGCGAUCUCCUCCACCAUGGCCGGCACCCCCAUCAAGGUGGGCUCCUUCGGCGAGGGCCGCAUCACCAUGCGCAAGACCGCGGCCAAGCCCAAGGUGGCGGCGUCCGGCAGCCCGUGGUACGGCCCCGACCGCGUCAAGUACCUCGGCCCCUUCUCCGGCGAGCCCCCGAGCUACCUGACUGGCGAGUUCCCCGGCGACUACGGCUGGGACACCGCUGGGCUGUCCGCUGACCCCGAGACCUUCGCCAAGAACCGCGAGUUGGAGGUCAUCCACUCCCGCUGGGCCAUGCUCGGCGCGCUCGGCUGCGUCUUCCCCGAGCUGCUCGCCCGCAACGGCGUCAAGUUCGGCGAGGCCGUCUGGUUCAAGGCCGGCUCCCAGAUCUUCAGCGAGGGCGGCCUCGACUACCUCGGCAACCCCAGCCUUAUCCAUGCGCAGAGCAUCCUCGCCAUCUGGGCCUGCCAGGUCGUGCUCAUGGGCGCCGUCGAGGGCUACCGCAUUGCCGGCGGCCCACUCGGCGAGGUCGUCGACCCGCUCUACCCCGGCGGCAGCUUCGACCCCCUCGGCCUGGCCGACGACCCUGAGGCCUUCGCCGAGCUCAAGGUCAAGGAGCUCAAGAACGGCCGCCUCGCCAUGUUCUCCAUGUUCGGAUUCUUCGUCCAGGCCAUCGUCACCGGCAAGGGCCCGCUCGAGAACCUGGCCGACCACCUCGCCGACCCAGUCAACAACAACGCCUGGGCCUACGCCACCAACUUCGUCCCCGGCAACUAAGCUCGCCAUUCGCCUCUGCAACUCCAUUGUCUUCCGGCCGGGAGGGGCGUACGUGGAUUGGUUGAUGCUGCAAGCGAGCUGCCGCAUGCGUGUCUUGUUUCACGUUGCAUUUCAGGGGCAAGUCGAGAUGAUGAGUCGGCGUUGUACACUAAGAUGAUGUUUGUGCAAUAGUAGUGGUUUUGUUCC